rnacentral:tRNA from 1 species
GGGGAUGUAGCUCAAUGGUAGAGUGCUUGCCUAGCAUGUGUAAGGCCCUGAGUUCAAUUCACAGUAUCACCA